rnacentral:rRNA from 1 species
GUCCGGGAACUUCCAGAGAUGAUUGGUGCCUUCGGGAACCGUGAGACAGGUGCUGCAUGGCUGUCGUCAGCUCGUGUUGUGAAAUGUUGGGUUAAGUCCCGCAACGAGCGCAACCCUUAUCCUUUGUUGCCAGCGGUCCGGCCGGGAACUCAAAGGAGACUGCCAGUGAUAAACUGGAGGAAGGUGGGGAUGACGUCAAGUCAUCAUGGCCCUUACGACCAGGGCUACACACGUGCUACAAUGGCGCAUACAAAGAGAAGCGACCUCGCGAGAGCAAGCGGACCUCAUAAAGUGCGUCGUAGUCCGGAUUGGAGUCUGCAACUCGACUCCAUGAAGUCGGAAUCGCUAGUAAUCGUGGAUCAGAAUGCCACGGUGAAUACGUUCCCGGGUCUUGUACACACCGA